rnacentral:lncRNA from 1 species
UUGUUAAUAAUGACAAUAAUAGCUAACCAUUUAUAUAGUGCUUAUUAUGUGCUAGAUACUGUGACAAGCACUUUACAAAUAUUAUCUCAUUUGAUUCUCCAAACCACCAUGUGAAAACAGGUGUUAUUAUUAUCUCCAUUUUACAGAUGAGAAAACUGAGGAACGCAAGUUUAAUGACUAACUCAAGGUCCUCAUAGCUGGUAAGUGUAUAUAAUAAGUAAAAAUAUUUCUUGAGCUUAGCAGCAGUGCAGUAGAAGACUCUAGAAAUGAACUCAACAUCAGACUAAUGGCUCAGUACCUAGAAAAAUGACAACAAAGACAUCAGGAAUUUAUAUGGUGGUUUAAGUUUGCAAAAUGCUCCACAUUCAUUAUCUCAUUCGAGCCUUACAGCACCCUUGCCUGAGACUUUUGCUGUCAAUAAGAUUUGUAAAGACUCAUCAGAGAUAUCGGAGUCCAACUACCUCAAACCAAUUAAAAAACUUUUUUUUUAUUAUUUUUUAUGUGCAAGAUACUGUGUGGCUAAGCUGCUCAGGGACAAGGAUGAAAAUUAAAGUCACCUCCUCUCUCAAGGAGUUUAUGGUGAUGUACGGAACAUAUGUAAUAGGGACAGCACAGAGCAGAAAGGCUGUCACAAGUCUUGCCCUGCUCCCAGGGGGAUUUAACAUCUGGCACUCGAACAGGGACCUGGGUGACCGACAAAUCAUUGGGGAACAAGCGCAUCAAGAAGGAACCACAGGUAAGGAACUCCCCUCAUGGGAGGUGGGGAAGGACAUCGGAAAUAAAACAUGGGGCAUUCUAUCUAUUUUUAUCUACAAUCAGUGGCCCUUUGCCGAGGUCCCCACUAAUAUGUUCUCAUACUUGCAUACAGAGAUUUUUACAACAUGUAUCCUCUGUGUGCCCCUGGUUUCCCCUUAUAAGGUUCUUGUAAUUUGGAAGGACCUUCCUCAGUCCCUGUGGACACCUUUGCCCUCUGGGGGUUAAUUCGUGAAUCACUCAACCCAGCGCCCUAUUGUGCCAAUUUGAAGCUAAAUUCAGAAUCUCAUAAACCCAAGGAGGAUAAUGAGAAAAAGCCCAAUAUCGUGGUCCCUCCCGCAGACAGGUCUUCUUUAUGUCCCAUACCCUCCCUUAGCCCUUCAUCAGGUUAUGAUUCCC